AGAGUUUGAUCAUGGCUCAGGAUGAACGCUAGCGGCAGGCCUAACACAUGCAAGUCGAACGGCAGCACGGACUUCGGUCUGGUGGCGAGUGGCGCACGGGUGCGUAACGCGUAUACAAUCUACCUUUUACAGGGGGAUAGCCCAGAGAAAUUUGGAUUAAUACCCCAUGGCAUAUGUUUGUGGCAUCACGGACAUAUUAAAGAUUCAUCGGUAAGAGAUGAGUAUGCGUUCUAUUAGCUAGUAGGUGCGGUAACGGCGCACCUAGGCUACGAUAGAUAGGGGCCCUGAGAGGGGGAUCCCCCACACUGGUACUGAGACACGGACCAGACUCCUACGGGAGGCAGCAGUGAGGAAUAUUGGACAAUGGGCGCAAGCCUGAUCCAGCCAUGCCGCGUGCAGGAAGACGGCCCUAUGGGUUGUAAACUGCUUUUAUACGGGAAGAAACACCCCCUCGUGAGGGGGCUUGACGGUACCGUAAGAAUAAGGAUCGGCUAACUCCGUGCCAGCAGCCGCGGUAAUACGUAGGUGGCAAGCGUUGUCCGGAAUCAUUGGGCGUAAAGCGCGCGUAGGUGGCUUGUCAGGUCUGAUGUGAAAACUUGGGGCUCAACCCCAAGCGUGCAUCGGAAACCGGCUUGCUAGAGUCUGGGAGAGGAGAGUGGAAUUCCUGGUGUAGCGGUGAAAUGCGUAGAUAUCAGGAGGAACACCGGUAGCGAAGGC
rnacentral:rRNA from 1 species